rnacentral:misc_RNA from 1 species
GAUGAAGAACGUAGCGAAAUGCGAUACUUGGUGUGAAUUGCAGAAUCCCGUGAACCAUCGAGUCUUUGAACGCAAGUUGCGCCUGAAGCCUCGGCUAAGGGCACGUCUGCCUGGGCGUCACGCAUCGCGUCUCCCCCAAACCGCCAAGGCGGAGGGGAAGGAAGAUGGCUUCCCGUGCCUCACCCGGCGCGGUUGGCCUAAAUUUGGAGCCCGCGGCACUUAGCUCACGCGGCGAUAGGUGGUGAACAAGGCCUUGGCCGUGCAAACAACCCGCUGCGAAGCUCUAUGUCACGUGCGCGCGUCGGACCCUUUGACGUUGCCUUCGGUGACUUAAAACCUUUGCGACCCCAGGUCAGGCGGGGCUACCCGCUGAAUUUAAGCAUAUCAAUAAGCGGAGGA